ensembl:lncRNA
AAAAGGACUGAUAAGAACGUGUCUCCACAAGGACAAGGCUUUAUGACUUCUAACACAACACUGCUGGGGCAUCUGGGAGACGGGAAUACUCAUUAAAUUCUCAGUUUGGUUCAGGGGAAUUCCUGAAGAAAAAUCUCGAAGAAAAAGGUUUUAGUACAUAAAAAGCAGAAACGGACAGUUUCACCAAACCUCUAUAACAUUUUGUCAUUGUGCUGUGACAUGAGGAUGAGCUACAGUUGGAGUUUUAUCAGCCU